rnacentral:lncRNA from 1 species
AUCAUACCUGAUAGUUCUGUACUGACAAGGCUAACUGCAAUCGUGGAAACAGAGAUGGAAGUUCACUCAGGAACCAAGUUAGGAGCAAGACCUUGCCCCACAUCUUUGUAGUCUUCUCAAUUUUCUCAGUUCUUUUUUGAAUAUACAGAAAAACAAAUAGAAUAGAUGUUUCUGAGAAGCCAAGUCACCUGGACAUACCCUCCUUUUCUAUUGUAAAUAAGCCCUGUGAAAAUAUGGUCAUCUGUAGUACCCUCAUCGUAUUCCCAGCAUUAGCAACCACACACUCAAGCACGUUUUAUAUCUUCAAUCGGUUUGCAUGCAUGGCUUGAGAAGGUCCUAUCCUGCCAACUAAGAAAAAAACUGUAUAUGCUAUAGUUUAUUUUCUUUUCACAAAGGGAUUAACCUCAGCCUAAGGCACACUUAUGAAUUUUAUGACUUGGAAAAUAUUUCUUUCAUAGACACCAGGAUCUUACCUGCUCUACUGCCCAGCCAAAUAGGACUUCUCCCAUCCCAGGCCCUUCAGAGAGGCAGCACACAGCAUUCCAGGAGCCAAGAGACGUCAAGCAUCACCAAGCUACACGAGGAUUUUGUGGGCACGUCACACUCUGGGAGCUAAGCCAGAGGGAACAGAAGGCACCAAACUGCUCUGAAAAGUGACUUAUUGUCCAACUGAUGAAGAACAUUUAUUCAAGAUUUUCACAUUAAACAACAUGGCAAAGCCUCAAGAAAUUCCUCAGCCAAGCCCAGCAUCACUG